rnacentral:lncRNA from 1 species
CAAUAAGACUCACGGUUACCUACAGGUUACAAGCAGAUCUUCAAGCAAAGUUGAUCAUCAUGAAUGUUGGGAGUGAUCAAGAUUAUAGAUGCGUACGAAUAAUAUAGGUGUUGUAGAUACUUUAUUAUUGGGAGUCAUGUGGAUGAAUGGACAAGAGUAUUUUCAUAUGCUGAAUAUUCUAUUUUAUCAUGAAUGGUGUGCGUGAAUGAUGGAUUGAUUUAAUUAAUGAUAUAUAUGUGGCAUCAAUUUUUAUUUUGGAUCUUCCAUUGUAUUAAAAAAUAAGCAAAUGCCGACGACCAACAUUUUCAUUGUGCUACCCCACAAGCAUAUGACGACGACAUAUUUUCCGUUGUGAUAUCCAUUGAGUGUAUAACCACAACCCUUAUUGCGUUGCACUACCCUGUACGCAUAUAACCAUGACAUAUUUCGUUGCGAUAUGCUUGAAGCAUAUAACGACGGCACAUACCUCACUG